rnacentral:tRNA from 1 species
AUUUAGUCUAGUGGUAAGAUGCUCACUUAGGGAGUGGAUGGUCCUGAGUUCAAUCCUUAGAAU